UACAGAGACUGCAAGCGUUAUUCGGAUUCACUGGGCGUAAAGGGUGCGCAGGCGGCCAAGUGUGUGAGGCGUGAAAGCCUGGAGCUUAACUCCAGAAUUGCACCUCAAACUACUUGGCUAGAGCAUUGGAGAGGGUAGCAGAAUUCACGGUGUAGCAGUGAAAUGCGUAGAUAUCGUGAGGAAUACCAGAGGCGAAGGCGGCUAUCUGGACCGACAUUGACGCUGAGGCGCGAAAGCGUGGGGAGCAAACAGG
rnacentral:rRNA from 1 species